UCUGCAAAGCAGAAAAUGCUAGAAUUACGAGACUCCAGUAUCUGGCUCCACUCCCCGUCAGCAGCAACCCCUCUGCCAAAAGCCUCUCCUGGCAGCCCAGAGUGCUCGUGGGGAGAAGCCGAUCACAGCACCAGCCAACAACCCGGAUCUGCCACUACAUACCACGUCGUCCCCGAUGGGGGCUGCUCUAUGCCAGGGGCACCAAGGACACCCCAACCCAACCCACAUUUUCAACAUCUGGAACCCUCUUGCUGAAGCUCCUGAGGUACGACUGCAAAUGGUACCCGCGGUGCAUGAGCACCUAGUCAGCUCAGCCAUCCUCCCACCCAGCAGGCGUUUCAAGGGCCUGAUCCACGGCGGCAAUGGUGAGUGAGAAACAGCCCCCUUCACAGAGAAGGGACAAGUGGCUGCUUCUCAUCUUGGGCCACAUUAUUUUACUUGAAAAAGUUAUGAACAUGCUUGAGGUAAAAAAGAGCUCUGGGAUGAGUUUUUUAUGCACUUUGAUAGACGCUUCCAGAACAUCUUCAGGAUUCCAGAAAGAUUUGUAAAAAACUGAAAAUAUAAUUAAGAUCCUGGGGGGAAAGGCAAGUAUAUCUUGAAAGAUAUAAAGGAGUUUCUUGUUCUUUUUAUUCAUAAGGUUGCUUUCAUCAAAGGGUCCUGGAGAAAAGGAUGAGGGGAUGCCUGGAGGGUGAUGAUGAAGCAGGAGGUCUUCCUGGAACGAGGUGGGAAUGAGGUGCGAUUAGAAUCACCGAGAGGUCCCUGCUGGAGCAGGCAACCAGGGCUGAGAGUUAAGCAGACGGUCACACGAGGGGCAGGAUGAGGGGGACUGAGUGUAGGACAAGUAAGGCCGGGGCGGGCCUGGCUAGAAGGGCUGGAGCCAUCCUCUGGCUCUGGAAGGCACAGCUGUCCUCAGGGGCACCUGGAUCAUUGUUCCUGAUGGUCCGGGCAGGCUGCCCUGUUGGGCCAGGCAUAGUGAGAAGAUGACAGAGGGGUGGCGAUCCUGGGACGAGAUAAAUUGUUGACCAGUCGUGGCCUGUGGAGGGCCGGUCAGUGAGAGCAAGAGCUGAGGACAGGAGGUACGUGGUGUGCUCGGCCAUCUGCCAGUAGCCUGACUCUGGUGGCUGAACUCUGUGGGCCAUCUGGGGCUGUGGGAGAGUGGAGGACAUUUCUUGAGCGGCCAGCACUGGGACAAGAAUUCAGGUGUUCAGCGGGACAAAAAGAAAACCUACUCUUGGGGCUUGGGAGCCUAUCCAUCCAACUCUUACCCCUGGAACUGUUCUCACAGGGCAAACUGGGCCAGUCCCCCUUGUUGACCUUGACAACUGGCCAGCAGCUGCCUCCCCUGUUCCGUUCCACUUCUGGUCUGCUGUCUUGGCCGAGGCCUGGCAAUCACCAGCAGGGCCGCAGGGACUGGUUAGAAGUCACCUUGCCCUGCACAAAGGUGGAUCCGAGGCCCGGGCGACUGGAAGAACUAGGCCCCACAGCUAACGGCAGGUGACUUUCCCUGGAAGUGACAAUGACUCACUACAGCUCUCAACAUGGAAUCGCCACUUGGGGGCAGCAGGUAACCUUUGGGGGUUUUCCUAGGAGGGACUGUACCUAGCACUGUGCUGCAGAGAUGUACUUAUGCUAGGUGGGUGUUGAGGGUGCCGGGGACAGGGCUAAGAAAGAGGCCUGUGCUCCCUGUGUUCAGGUGGAUGGUGCUAGACUAUGGGUCAGGGCAGAAGCCAGCAGUAAGAGCCCCUGCCGCUCCAGGCCAGGGAGCCAAGUCGCACACGCUUGACUAGGAUUGUACAGGCCAGGGAGCCCUGAGAGGCAGGGCAGAGACCAUCUACACCAGUUGUCCGGCCAGGAACACACUCCAGGAGGUGUGGAAGGUAGGGUGAGGGUGCUCUGGGAAGAGACUAAGUAGGGAAUACUGACAAGUCUUGGCCUCUGCUGGCUGGUGAAGCCUCUGCUGUUAGGCCACAGGCUGGCAGCCCCGUCCCCCAGUGCUGUCGCAGAAAAUUGCAGGGUUAGCUCUACGUGAGUCUCUGCCCUGGUGUGUAUGGGAAGGGGUGGAGGGUGCAGGAAUAGCCUCAGGUUCACAGCCCACUGGCCUGUCUGGCUCAGAGAGCAGUACCACAGGGUGGGUGCUCUCCUGGCACACCCCCCUCGUCGUGCUGGAUAAUGAACCAGCUCUCUUGGGAAAGCCAUAGCAGAGGCUCACUGAGCUCAGCAGUUCAUGGCUCCAGAGGCUUUUCUGUCAGUGCUGCACUCUAGGCCUGCCCUCCCCUCCACAUGGAAGCAGCUGCCUUGUUGAAGGGCAAUGAAAACGCUCAUGCUUGUAUUUCUUCUCUUUGGCCCAAUGUGACAGGUACAUGGAGCUUCUCAGGCCCUUAUUCGCUUUUGAAGACCACUGUUUGCCAAUGAAGUCCUCCGUGCCCAUGCCCCACUUCUAGGCCACCAAUGAGAUCUCCAUGCCUGGGAGACAGUCAAAGAUUCUACAGUAACCAAGUGAAUCUCCAAUCAAGAAAAAGUCAUAUUCAAAAUGGAAUUAAGAAGCUGCAUCUUACCUGAGAAAAAUAUUCUUCUGAGAUACGUGCGGCCCACUCAAUGCACUGCUCCAGGGGUCGGCAGGGAUUGGACACAUCAGCACACUUAAUCAGCAUUCGUUUGAUCAAACUGCGGUUGUCUGGAGUUCUGAGCAUAGUGAUUAUGGCUUCUUGAUUUUUAUCAGUUUCCUAAAACAUGAGUGGAAUUCAAAGCAAUCAAAAUGGAGCCCCAGGUACCAAGCUGGUUUACUCCUGCGGUCCCACUGUAACCACGGUAAGGCACUUUCCAGGAUCUACAAGUUAGGAUCUCACAAACAGUGCGGAGGAUACUCUGCGGAUUGAGCUUGGCCCUUAUUCUACAAACGGGAAAACCAAGGCCUAGUGAGAUUCCAGCAGGACCCAGAAGUAGAGGGUAGCGCUGGAGGUUGGCGUAUCUGCCUUUCCUCUUCUUUUUGGCUCUUCCUCUCACUCUGUUUCUCACAGUUACCUUUUCUUUCUGUUCUAUUAUGUCUAUCAUGCUCCCUUGGUAAGCACUCAAAAGACUGGCUUUAUCUUUUAUUAUAUUCACUAAAAAACAGAGUGAACUGAAAAAUAAAAGAUUUCUCUGCCCUCGUAACAAAGCAUCUUAUAGUCCACCAGGGGCUCUGCUUCUCACACGCCAAUCUCCAAUCACCUAGCUCUGUGAGAGGUAUGAUCUUGGGAACUAGCUGUCCGUGUACCAAGGCUGUGUCAGAUAUAGUGAUACGUCCUCAACACUGCCCUAACAUUUUAUGGUGUACAGAGGACUUAGUCAUUCUCUUUUGGUCUGCACUCACAAAAAGGUCCUGUGGUAGGCAUGAAAAUCAGUAUUAUUUACACUAUUACAUUUUACAGAUGAGAACCCUGGGACUCUGAGAGGUGAAGAAACUUAUCCAAAGCUACCCAGCUGAGCCAGGAUAAGAACCUAAGUUCUGCCUUUAGUCCUGGAUUCUGUCUAUUCACAGUACCACAUGCUAUCUGAUUCACAAGGAGCUCCUCUGGAUAUGGAAUCUCAAUCCAGGGUGUGAGGGACUCUCUGCUUAUUGGCCCCCUGAAGCAAAUUCAGAUUGGAAGAGGGAGACCUGGGGCAAAGAACAUGGUAAAAGGCAUGAGCAAGCAUCUCCUCAUUCUGAUCCUGUGCCCAUCGGGCAACUUUCCAGAGGAGUCAGUCAUGUGAGUUCUGUGCGUAGUCACAGUAGUCUAAGAAGGCCUGAUGAUCCUAUGUCAGUGGGGACAGACCUACCAUCCAGAUGGGUAGGAGGCAUCCCGAGCCCAGGCUGCCUAGUCUCCUGGAGAGCGCCAGAGUGGACACUGCGAGUGUCCUCAGUAGUUCUCCUUGUUUCCCACUGCCAACCAGGUUUGUGCUGACCCCUCUUCUCUUCAGGUGUGUGACUACACUGACUACAGUACUGCCAGCUGGAAACUAUUUUCUUUCAUGAUACUUUGUCCCUGCUCUGACCCACUGGAUACUGAUUUCCAGUCUCUCAGAAGUAACUCCAAGUACCGACAAAAGAGAUGAGAAACGUUGACUGUCAAGUGGAAUGGAAGACUCAGCUAAGUCUAGGAACUUCCCAGAAUAGAUGGAGGAAACCCAAGUCUACGAGUUAUCAGGCCCCACACUAGACACUGAGGGCACAGUGAGGAAGAGAAGACAUAUGACACUGUGAUCUUACAGCGCUUAACAGUCAAACCAGAAUCAGGCAGACGAAGGAACCUGGGACUGAACAAUUAAUGUGAGGGGUCAGGGAAGGCUUCCGCAAAGAAGUGACGUGUGAAAAGAGACAACGACGAGACGUCUGCUGGGCAGAGUGGAGUCUUCCAGGCAGAGAUGUAAGGUGACAGCUUCUCUGGGUCUCUCGAGGUGUCUGCCUUAUACUUUGUCGUCUUGGAAUGUCAAGAUACAAAGGAACUGAACCUUGAAAACAUCGUGCUAAGUGACAGAAGCCAGACACAAAAGACACAUAUUGGGGAUGCUUCCAUUUAUAUGAAAUGUGCAGAACUGGCAAAUCUAUGGAGAGGGAAAGUAGACCUAGAGCUGUGGGAGUUGAGGGGGGAAUGGGGAGAGACUGCCAAUGAGCUCGAGGUUCUUUUGCGGGGUGAUGGAAAUGUUCUAAAUUUCGACUGUAGUGAUGGUCACACAACUCUGAAUAGAAGAAAAACCACUGUACACUUAAAACGGGUGAACUGUAGAGUACGUGAAUUAUAUCUUAAUAAAAUUGUUUUUUAAAAAAAGAGAGAGGAAACAUACUUUCCAACUCGUUGUUCUUACC